CAGGCACGUGCUGCAAGGCCCUCUCCCCUUCGCUGUUAGAGUCAGGAGAAAAAGAAACAGAAUGGAUGGGCCACUCAAAAGUGUGAGCGUUGGGGUCAGAGGUGGACGUGGAAAGUGGACGACAGCAGAUAUGGAGAGAAGAGCUGCAGUCACCAGCCAAAGCUGGUUUAGCUCCUUAACAGCCCUGAACUUUACCACCAGCAAGACUGAAUUAUUUUCUAUCCUUU